GCCCCUGGCGCGAGCCGCCCCUUCGUUCGACCCCGCAGGCGCGCGGGCUCUCGACUUCGCCCAGUGGGGGCCGCGGGUCUCGCGCUGGUGGGCGCUCGGAGCUCCGGCUCCCUGCAGCUGGGGGCAGGGGCCGCUGGUUUUCGUUUUGACCUCACUGUCGCUGGGCGCGUCCCAGCCCUUGGUCCAGGGCUUACCCUCACGGCGCUUGAUACGAACACACAGAUUUUUGACCCGGGUUGUCUCCAGAGGAUGCUCAGAAGAACAUUCGCACGACUGGAGCCAGGGAGAUGCAGAUGCAGCACCAAGUCCCAGAGGGAACACUAUGGGCCAAACGGCAGUGUGCAUGGCAGGAUGGUGUACAUGGCUCAACCCAAGGCCUCUCAGGAAUACGUCAAAAAGCCCCAAGAGAAGUUUACAGCAAUCUGAAGUAAAUGAAAAUGAAAACACAACUUACAAAAUUCAUGGAAUGCCAAGGAAACAGUGCCAAGAGGGAAAUCUGUAGCAUUAGAUGCACACGGUGAGAAACAUUUGACAAAAUCCAAUACCCAUUCGUGAUUAAAACUCAAAACCUGGGAAUGAAGGAGAAUUUCCUUAACUUGAUAAAGAUCAUCAAAAAUGCUCAGCUAACAUCAGACAAUGGGGAGAGACUAGAUAUCUUCCUCCGCAAUCAGGAGCAAGACACUCUUCUCUCCCUACUCCUCCUCAGUAUUGUACUAGAAAUCCAGGCUAACAAAAUAAGACAAGAAGAAUAAAAUAUGUGCAAUUGGGAAGAAAAAAAUAGAAUUGUCUUAUUUGUAGAUGGCGUGACUAUGUAGGAAACCCCAAAGAAUUAACAAUAAAAGUCCUGGAACUAAUCGAGAAUUAUGGCAACAGUCCAGGAUACACGGUUAAUUUAUGAUAGUCACUUGCUUCCUAUUUACUAGGAAUAGACAAGGGUAAAUUAACAUUUAAUACACAAUACCACUUACAUUAGCACCACAAGAAAUGAAAUACUUAGGUAUAAAUCUACAAAUAUGUACAGGAUCUACAUGAGAA
rnacentral:lncRNA from 1 species